rnacentral:rRNA from 1 species
UACGAAGGGGGCGAGCGUUGUUCGGAAUUACUGGGCGUAAAGGGCGCGCAGGCGGCCUUAGAAGUCAGAUGUGAAAGCCCCGGGCUCAACCUGGGAAUGGCAUUUGAUACUCUGAGGCUGGAGUACGGGAGAGGAGAGUGGAAUUCCCAGUGUAGAGGUGAAAUUCGUAGAUAGUUGGGAAAGAACACCGGUGGCGAAGGCGGCUACUCUGGACCGUAACUGACGCUGAGGCGCGAAAGCGUGGGGAGCAAACAGG